rnacentral:rRNA from 1 species
UACAGAGGGUGCGAGCGUUUAAUCGGAGUUACUGGGCGUAAAGGGCGCGUAGGCGGUUAUUUAAGAUUGUUGUGAAAUCCCUGGGCUUAACCUAGGAACUGCAACGAUGACUGGAUAGCUGGAGUACUGUAGAGGGUAGUGGAAUUUCCGGUGUAGCGGUGAAAUGCGUAGAGAUCGGAAGGAACACCAGUGGCGAAGGCGGCUACCUGGACAGAUACUGACGCUGAGGCGCGAGAGCGUGGGGAGCAAACAGG